rnacentral:lncRNA from 1 species
GACGAUGUCAUCAUUAUGUGCUCAGUUUUCUCAUCUCUAAAGAGGGGCCCAAAACAGGACCUAAGUCACAGGACACAGGGAGAAUUAAGAGCUUGCACAGUGACGCCCAGUGAAUGUUCCUCAUCAGUGUUGGUGCCUUUAAGAACACUGUAUUUGUCUAAGGUCAUUGCGCCCAAAAUGUGGAUGACAUUUCUCCUUGGUGUGUUCACACGCCACUGUAGACUAAAGUCACCAUCUGGGAGGAAGGGCUUUGGCAUUUUUCAAUUUCCAGAUGGUGUGCGGCAGUGGUCAGGCGCAGCGAGCUAAGAAUUCCUGCAGGCUUAGGGCUUUUUGAGGGGGUUUGGUCCGGGUUUGGGCUUGUUCUGUUCUGUUUUGCAGGACUGGGGCUGGAACCCAGGAGCGCGCUGCCACAGGACUGUAUCCUUGACCCUUUGGAAUUUUUACUUUGAGACUAGGUCCUGCCAAAUUGCUGUCACUGACUUCAAACUUUCGAUCCUUCUGCCUCAACCCCAUCCCCACCCCCACCCCAGUAGCUGGGAUCACAGAAAAAGCCCCAGGAGUGAAGCAGCCCAGGACAAAGGGCACUUAAGGUGAGCAUCGGCCAAUGGUCAAGUCACUUUCUAGAAGGAUUAUUCUAACCGAGAUGCCUCCUAGCAAUGCCAGUAAAGAAACUCUCACAACUGGUGCAGUCUGCUGGAAAGGUCCGGAGCAUCCGCCCUGGGGAGGUGUAAGUAGGUGUCCUGUGACUAUUCGCCAGGAGCUGCCAGGAUUGGUGCAAACUUGCCUCGGUUGAAGGUGAGGCUCAGGAACCCUUAAGGAGCCUUCAGAGUCUCUGGGACAGAGGCUAAAACUGAAAGUUCUGACUGUAGCCCCGUGCAGAGGCCCACACGUGUAAUCUGAGCCACUCAGGAGGCUGAGGCAGGAGGAUCACAAGUUGGAGACCAUCCUGGGCAACUUAGCAAGACCCAGUCUCAAAAUAAAAUCUACAAAGGGUUAAGGAUACAACCCAGUGGUAGAGAACUUGCCUAGCAUGUGCGAGACCCUGGGUUCAAUUCCCAGAACUACGAAAAUAAAAAGUCUUAUUUUCUUUCCUCUUUAAGUUCCCCUUCCUGCUUCUGCUUCUGCCAUCCCCAGGUUCCUGCGUGAUUUCUGGGGCAGGCGCCCACACCCUGGGCCUCUGAAGCAAGCAUGCUGAGCGUGGAGAGGCCCUGGCCUUACCUCUGAGGGAAGGAGGACGCCCGGCCUGGAGAGUGAGUGGAGGCUCAAGUGCCAUCUCUCAGACUGGAGUGCAAUCCCAUGUAGGCCACUUCCCAAAGCGUGCCCUGUGGACAGGCGGCUGCAUCUCCCUGAGGUCAGUUUCCCUUCUCAGUAAAAUGAGGUCAUUGUUGCCUCCCCCUGAAGGAUUUCGAUGGCAUGGGUGUGCACAGAAUAAAUGCUACUCUGCAAAAAGUGUAUUUUGAUUGACGUGGCCUUUGUUCAGAGGACAAGGACAGGCUCGGUCCAGAAGUGAUGUUGUAGGAAGCAGUCCACCCAAUGGGAUUCGAGGGUCCCUUUCCCACCUGCCAGCAAAUACAGCUCCCCUCUGUGGCUCUUCUCCUUGCCUAAGCAUUCACUAUUGGGGACUUCCUUGGACUGAGGCAGGUGACAAUCUGUGUUUUCCAAAUGUGGUCACACCUCGUCUCACAUUCUCUUCCUACCAUGUGACUUUGUCCGACCUUGCACGGAGAGGUAGGGUCCAUUUCCUCUCCUUGAAUCUGGGUGGGCAUGACUGUAGUGCAAGUGACAUGAUGGGAGCAUGUCACUUCCACAACUGAGUCAUAAAAUCCAUCAGAGCUUCUUUGUUGUUCUCUGAAACCUUUGUGCGGUCCCCUGUCGGCCAGUCUGCGCCCCCCCCCCCCAUCAGGCCACCAGGGACUAAGAGUCCCAGAAAUCAAAUCAGCUCCCACAGAGGGAUCCUGCGGAAAAGCACAGGACUAGAUGAAGGAGGACACAUCCCCAGGCAGCCCCCGGCCAUCUGCCCCAGCCCCAGCCACGGUGACCACACACACAGGAGGCAUCUGAGCCAGAACCACUAAGCUGAGCCCUUCGCAAGUUCAGGAGCCUCAGGGACACAGAUAACAAAAUGUUGUCAUGUCAGGUCCCUGUCUCUGGGGGUGGUAUGUUACGCAGCCCGAGGUGACUUAUACAAGCAUAGAACCCUUGUCUCCAAGGAAAGGAAAUCAGCAUUGUCCUCGGGGACGCCAGUCAGUCCGAUUCUUUAAUUCUCAGUGGUACAUUAAUGAGAACGAGAACAAGCUUCCAUUUAUUGGACUCUUUCACCCACCAGGCACUGCGGUGUGGGCUUUGCUCUGCGUAUAGAAUUUCAAAGAGCCCUCCCCACAGCCCAGUGAGCGAGGGCCCCAAAGUCCUGCUUUGUUCUCCGCUUCCAGAUGAGGAAACCCAGGCUCAGAGAGAGGACAUGACUUGUUCCCAGUCAAGUGGCUGGCAAACGGCAAAGCUGGG